GAGGCUCUGAGGUGUCCCCUCCUCUGCAGGACGUGGCCCCAGGGCGGGCGGAGGGCAGAGCUGCAGGUGGCAGAGGCCGAGCCGUGGCUCCAGCAGGUUUUCAGUUUAGCUUUAGUAGGAGAAACUUGUGCCUAACAACAACACUGCAAUGUGGCCAAGUCUUCAGAGAUUUUUCCAUUUUGCCAAUAAGUCUUCCCUGAAAAGCCAACCUCAGAUUCCAUUCUGGGCUUUCUCGUUUUCAAGGCCUCACUCCAUGUAAGCCAUGAAAACUAAUGUUUGGACACAGCA